UUCAGAAAUGCAGAAACGUUCAGCCAGUAGUGAAAUGUUCUUUAUGCCGUUCAGAAUUCACACCUGGGGAGAAAGGCUCAACCAGCAGCAGUUGUCGGCAUUGUAACUACAACCUGAAAGUAUAUGGAGAGCCUUCUGUUUGCCGCUACUGUAACCUGACUGCGGCUUUUGUGGACAAUAAGUGUCAGCGAUGCACUGCCUAUGAGAAGAAGUUUGGCAACCCAGCUCCGUGUGAGCAGUGCAAAAUGAAGGCAGCCUUCGACAGGACGGAUAAAGC